rnacentral:rRNA from 1 species
GGACUGUAGGCUGCAACUCGCCUACACGAAGUUGGAAUUGCUAGUAAUCGUGGAUCAGCAUGCCACGGUGAAUACGUUCCCGGGUCUUGUACACACCGCCCGUCACACCAUGGGAGCUGGUAACACCCGAAGUCAGUAGUCUAACCGCAAGGAGGACGCUGCCGAAGGUGGGAUUAGCGACUGGGGUGAAGUCGUAACAAGGUAUC